AACAGUGGGGAACCCAGAAGACCCGGAAUCUGUUCCCCGGAGGGUUUCAGGUGACCACAGACACCCAGAAGGAGCCUGACCGGGCCUCUUGCACUGACUGAGACGACUCCUCAGGGCCCCACUCCUGGCAGCUGAGUGCUGCACCUGCCUUCUUGAUCACGAGCCUGAGAACUGCACGGGGGAGCAGCCCAGACUGGCUGGAAACCAUGUUUUCAGAGUGCAGGGUCAAGCGGCGUGUAGGACUCUGUCAAAAGAAUGACCCCUUUCCCCACCACAUACCCACAACUGCACAGGUUAAAACAGAAAUCUUGUCAUUUUAUAAUUGUAAUCCACGCCGGGUGCAGUGGCUCACACCUGUAAUCCCAGCA
rnacentral:sRNA from 1 species